UACGUAGGGGGCAAGCGUUGUCUGGAUUUAUUGGGCGUAAAGAGCGUGUAGGCGGCUAGGUAGGUCCGUUGUGAAAACUCGAGGCUCAACCUCGAGCUGUCGAUGGAAACCAUCUGGCUAGAGUCCGGAAGAGGAGAGUGGAAUUCCUGGUGUAGCGGUGAAAUGCGCAGAUAUCAGGAAGAACACCCGUGGCGAAGGCGGCUCUCUGGUACGUGACUGACGCUGAGACGCGAAAGCGUGGGGAGCGAACAGG
rnacentral:rRNA from 1 species